rnacentral:lncRNA from 10 species
UCCUUCCAGGAAUGUUGGCUCUGAGGUCGUCUUCCGCGUGAGUUUUCAUCUGUCACUUGUAACAGGAGUGCUGGUGGGAACCAUGGUGCAGGGUGGUCCAGCAUCACCUGCACGGCUUGGAAGACGGAGAUCGCAGAGCCGGGUCCCAGGGUGUCUGAUUCAGUGAGUCCAGAGGCGUGCCUAUGUGUGGACAGACAUCGCUGACCGACCAUAACCUCACAUCUGCCAAACAGACACGGCCUCAGAAAUUAACAAUGGAUGUUUGUCUUCAACGAAGCUUCCGCCCGACACAUCAGAUACAGUGCUGUGCUGGGCGGAGCCACAGGAAGCCU